rnacentral:rRNA from 1 species
UGAGGAAUAUUGGUCAAUGGACGCAAGUCUGAACCAGCCAAGUAGCGUGCAGGAUGACGGCCCUAUGGGUUGUAAACUGCUUUUAUAUGGGGAUAAAGUGGGGAACGUGUUCCCUUUUGCAGGUACCAUAUGAAUAAGGACCGGCUAAUUCCGUGCCAGCAGCCGCGGUAAUACGGAAGGUUCGGGCGUUAUCCGGAUUUAUUGGGUUUAAAGGGAGCGUAGGCCGUUUGGUAAGCGUGUUGUGAAAUGUAGGAGCUCAACUUCUAGAUUGCAGCGCGAACUGUCAGACUUGAGUGCGCACAACAUAGGCGGAAUUCAUGGUGUAGCGGUGAAAUGCUUAGAUAUCAUGAAGAACUCCGAUUGCGAAGGCAGCUUACGGGAGCGCAACUGACGCUGAAGCUCGAAGGUGCGGGUAUCGAACAGG